rnacentral:tRNA from 1 species
GACUUAGAAGCUAAAAAGAAGCUGCGGUUUUGUAAACCGAAAAUUGGAAUUUCCCUAAGUCA